AACCCUGCUUGGAGUAUUGUCUCCUUGGCAGAAUUAACCUCUCGACUAUCCUAAUUUAUUUGACAUUGUCAUGUGUAUGGACAUUAGGCUGAUUUCAGUCUUUCAUUAUUAAAAAUUACAACAAAUAUUCCUGUCCACCUUCCGGGCCUGUGGAAAGCUCAUGUUUCCUGGACACCUUGUGAUUGGGUGGGGCUGUGGGACUGCCUGACAAUGUCAUGAGCAGAAAUGACACAUGUCAUUUCCAGGCCAGAAUGCUCAAAUAUUAAAGGGAAACAGUCCACGUUUGGCAAAGGGGCCACUAACAUUGGAAAUGGCAUGGCUGAGUGAUGAUAAGGAGUAGAGAUCUUCUGCUAACUGUAAAUGGAAAUAUGGAUUAGAGAGAAACAGACAUGCACUGUUUUAAGCCACUAAACAGUAGCCACUACCCAUUGGUUAAUAC
rnacentral:lncRNA from 10 species